rnacentral:tRNA from 1 species
GGGCGGUUAGCUCAGCUGGUAGAGCGCUUGACUUACAUUCAAGUGGCCGUUGGUUCGAUCCCAGCACCGCCCA